rnacentral:lncRNA from 1 species
GAAAUUUCAAUGAAAAUCUUGCAUUUUUAUUUCUUUGAAAUUUAUUACUGCUCCAGGCAAAGUCUUUGAAAUUUUAGGCUUUGAACAAAACUAAAUUGCCUCCUCGUGCGGCAGUAACAUCGUUGACACAUUUAAGUAUUUGAUCUUCUUUCUGAUCUUUAUCUAUUUCCCAGUGUAUGUGUUUUUUUAAUUGUAAUUUUAUUUUUAAAUUUCUUACUUUUAUAUUUAUCUAAUUAAAAAAGCUAUUACGUGAAGAUAUUUUAUUUAUAAAUUCAUUAAAAUUCAAAACCCUGAAACAUCAUCUUCAAAAUCAUACCAAAUGAUUCAAAAAUCACUCAACCGAGUGUGUUUUAGUUUUCCUGAAAAUUUUGAGAGCCAUAUUUCCUCAGGCUUAUGUUAGACUUGUUUCAUGUUAUGUCACAAGUCAACAGUUGGAAGUUUCUAGGUAGGGAUAGUUUCGUUUUAAUUUUCGUCCAUUUACUUUCUUCUUCGGAUUACGUAUGGCGAUAAUUGAUUAAGACACAUCAAGCUAUAAAUAAAUAAAUAAAUAUUAAUUUUUUUUUAUUACACAACUACUGACUUGGCUGUGAACCAAAGUAG